GUAACUCUAAAAUCAAGGUCACUACUAACUGAAAUAGUUUUUAAGUUUAAUUCAUUGAUAGGAGGGAAGUUAUUCUUUUAAAAAGACAUGCAUGACUAUUCAAUGACAAAUUUUCAUGAGAAUUUGUCAUUAGGUAGGGAGAAAUGGAAAUAGAAUUUUUAGUAUAUACCCUUGUUUUAAAUACAAUUUCUUUUUAUUAGCCUCUAGGGAAGGGGACCAACUUUUCUUUGUACCAAAUCUCUUUGGGGAAAAAAAGUGAAGUGUCGGUCCUACAAGUUGGUGCUUGUAUUGACAGGUGAAUGAAUAUGCUGCCACUGGUGGAGAAAACAAGCUUGCUGCUUUCCACACCUAUUCCUGAAUUGCAAGAAAGAAAACCUACCCAGAAGCUGGAGGGAAUCCAGAAGACGUGGACAAACCCGUAGCUUCUCCCUUGAGAGAGAGAUCAAAUUGGGAGAAUUGCCUUCUUAACAAUACUGAGCCUUCUAAUUGAUGUACAUGGUAUGUCUCUCCACUUAGCUUUUCAGGUAAAUAUCUUAUCAAUGUUUAUGGGUAUUAGUUCAUAACUCUUAUACUUCGUUCGUUAAAUUUGUUCUCAAGUAUUUUGUGUUUUUUUCUUAUGCUAUUGUAAAUGGAAUUGCCUUUUAAUUUCAUCUUUUUAUUUUUCUUGUUAAUACAUUGAAAUACAGUUAAUUUUGUAUAUUGGUUUGUAUCCUGUGGCAUUGUUGAUGUGGUUUAUUCGUUCUAGUAAGCUUUUGGAGAAUUUUCAACAUGUUGUCUGUGAAUAAAGGCAGUUUUACUUCUUC